CUUUAUUGGAAGUAAGAUAUGUAAGAAGGUGCAUAAUUGGCCAAGUGCUCCAGGGGUUAUAAAGACUGCCUUCCUGUAGCUGGAAUAGACAGAUUUAGCCUCUUACUGAAACUGAAGGCUGCAAUGGCGAUAACAAAUCUGAUUCUAACUCUCCCAUGUCACUGCUGCCCAAAGGUGCCUUUGUCUCCCAGGAGAAAGAGGUUGGAGGCUCCACUAUAUUUUGAAUAAAAAAAAAAAAUCUUUCCAAAACCAAGAAGAUCCAUCAUGAUCUGGCCUCAACUACCUGUCCAACCCACCAGCCACAUCGACCUUCUGUUCAGCUGCUAAGAAAACUUAACAAUUUUCUGGUUUCAGAACUAUCACACACUCUUCUCUCUGCCUGCAAUGGCCCUCACCCAAGUGGCUGACUGUAUGUUCCAUGAAAGAAGGGGCCACCAAGUAUAUACACAGUUCCUGGUAUAAUCUUGGCUCAUAAUAGGCUCUCGAUAAAUGUUUGCUGGAAAGCGUGGUGACAGAAGAUCC
ensembl:lncRNA